AAGUUUGAUCCUGGCUUAGGAUGAACGCUGGUAGUAUGCUUAACACAUGCGAGUCGAAUGAUGGUAACAUCAUGGCGAACGGGUGAGUACAAAAUAAGAAUCUGCCUUUUAGUUGGGUUAAAUACCUGAUGUACAGAAAGAUCCACGAUCGCUAAGAGAAGAGCUUAUUUAAGAUUAGGUUGUUGGUAGGGUAAAGGCCUACCAAGCCGACUAUCUUUAGCUGGUCUGAAAGGACGGUCA
rnacentral:rRNA from 1 species